GCCUAAUACAUGCAAGUCGAGCGGACCAAUGAAGAGCUUGCUCUUCGUGCGGUUAGCGGCGGACGGGUGAGUAACACGUAGGCAACCUGCCUGUACGACUGGGAUAACUCCGGGAAACCGGAGCUAAUACCGGAUACUUCUUUCAGACCGCAUGGUCUGAAAGGGAAAGACCUUUGGUCACGUACAGAUGGGCCUGCGGCGCAUUAGCUAGUUGGUGGGGUAACGGCCUACCAAGGCGACGAUGCGUAGCCGACCUGAGAGGGUGAUCGGCCACACUGGGACUGAGACACGGCCCAGACUCCUACGGGAGGCAGCAGUAGGGAAUCUUCCGCAAUGGACGAAAGUCUGACGGAGCAACGCCGCGUGAACGAUGAAGGUUUUCGGAUCGUAAAGUUCUGUUGUUAGGGAAGAACCGCCGGGAUGACCUCCCGGUCUGACGGUACCUAACGAGAAAGCCCCGGCUAACUACGUGCCAGCAGCCGCCGGUAA
rnacentral:rRNA from 1 species